CGAGUAUAUGUAAGAGAUAGAGAUGGAAGGAAAAUGGAUGGCGCGUACACCUGCACACGCACAUCCACACACAGGUGCAUGUCUUAGAAACCAUGUGUUACUUCCUUGCACAUAUGUACCUCCAACAAAACUCCACCGAAGAAGCUCUGUGUGGUUGUGCAGAGUGUUCAUUCUGCAUGGAAGCAGCAGGAGGACUGGUUCCCUAAUCAAACUUUGUCACUGUCUUUAAAGUUGGCAGGUAGUAUCUCUGCAUUACGUGGUGGACACAGGGAUGGUUUUUCCAGUCUGAUUAACUGAUAGAUUUCUUUAUGACACAGACUCAUCUUUCUGUAUCCCUAUUGUUUCUCUCAGCUGUUUACAGUCUGACAAAUCAGGACAAAUAUAUAUGUCAAACUGUUCCAAUUUGUCUGUGUCCCUCAGUAUUAGCUGGUUGCUCGCUAAGAAGAUGAUUCUAGUUAAGAUUCACUGAAAUUAGCUGCUAUAGGGUAUAAGAAGUAUUGACAGGAAAUUUGAAUGUUGUGAGAACAAACUUCUUGAUCCUCCUCAAACGACCAGAUAAAGAUAAUAUGAAGUGUACCCUCAACAGUUGCAAACUCAAAUUUAGGGGGUUAGCAGAGUUUUCUGUUCUGAAUGAUAUCCACAGGAAUCACAUACCAUUAUCUUAAGAAGGAGCAUAGCUCAAUAAUUUAACUCUGUGAACAAAGAACUACCUUUUUCAUGUUAUAUAAUUUAAAAUGUAAAUAAAUAUCUAUGAUAGCAUAUCAAAUCUAGUGAGGGUAGAGGAGUAUGUGUGAGAAUAACAAAUUAUUCUUGAUAUAUAAUUUUCUCCAUAUAGCUUAACAUUGUCUCUAGAGUUGCACCCAAAUUAGUUUUUUGGACUAGUUUUUAUACAGCUAAGUUGCCAAAUAACACACAAAUCAGGACCAUUUCAAGUGUAGUUAAUAUUUCUUCUUGUCAUGAAACUACUCUCAUAUAGAUUAGUUAAAACAAACUUUAUUAAGAUUAUAUUAAGUUUAUUAUUUAGAAACAGGAUUUUGUUUUCUUUUUUUUUAGGUAGUUGAGCAUCUUCACUACUUAGAAUUGAAAAAGGCUUCAGUGGUCAUCUCAGAGUAAUGCCUAAUUUUAAGGUGAAGUUGAUGUCAGGAAAUUUAGAGUGAUUUCUUUAUUCUCACAUCUAACUAACAGCAAAAUCAGGCCUAGAGUCUUGAUUUCUGUUUCCCAAUUCAAAAGUGCUUUACGUUAUCUAUAUUGCUUAAUUUAAACUUCUUAUUUUUGCA
rnacentral:lncRNA from 10 species